GAUCCUCCCACCUCAGCCUCCUGAGCAGCUGGGACUACAGGAUCAAAAUCAGCGAGCUUUUGAGAACAAGGUUUCCUUUUUAGGAUUCUAAAGAAUUCUACGUUUGUGUCAACAAGGACCCCACUUUUGGGAUGCCAGGACUCCAGAGUGGAUGAUGGCUGGUGCGAGCAACCCCUGGCUCCUGUCGUCCUUCCUGGAAUGCAGGGCAUGGGGACAUGAUGCACUGUUUGGAUGUUUUCAUGUCGGUGAUCUACUUGUCCAGUUUGAUCCCUACCAGAAGCUUGGAGGAUGCUCAUUCUCUCAUCACAAGGUAGAAGAGACCUACCCAACAUCACGACCGGCAGGGAGAGAAAACACAAGAUUUCAUGCUCCUGAAGUGAAAGCUACAAGCACUUCCUGCCCUGCCACACCUUAUGCCUGACUUCCCUCCACUGUAAAACAAGUACAUCUGAAACAAGGCACCCGAGGAAGAAGCUGUGGCAGCCAGACUCCAAGAUGGCCCCAAUGAAACCCACCUCCUGGUAUUCACGUCCUGUGUAAUCUCCAUCCUCACUUUACCAAGGUGAUCUGUGUGUCUGUGUGUGUGUAUGGCAGAAAUGACCAUGUCAUUUUUGAGACUGGGUUACAAAUGACACUAUGGCUUUUUCUUCUCCCCCUGCUCCCUCCCCACCUUGGACCACGAGCUCUAGGGGAAGCCGGGUGCCAUGUCUUGAGGACACUCAGGUAGCUUUGUGGAGAGGGUGAAGUGCUGAGGAACUGAGGCCCUUGGUCCAACUGCCAGUGAGGAGAGGAGGCCUGCAACCACCAUGAAUCUGCUGGCAAUCCUUGGGCUCCAGGAAGACCUCAUCAAGGUGCCACCUCUGAAGGGUGCACUUCUGGAUGAGCUGAUGUGGAGACGGCUCUCUGACUUGGAUCCAGAGCUAGGAAUCUUCAACUUGGCAUCAGCAAUGUCCACGAAGUUGUGCUUGUUGGUGCGUUUGAGACAGUGAAUGUCGAGAAUAGGGACCAGAGCACCCUGUGCCUUGGGAUGCACCUGCUCCAAUGCCAACUGGUAACACGAAGCCCUGGAAAAGUCUUUUGUAUGAGGUAAUACACAAGGGCCAAGCCUGAACCAUACCAGUACUGAACACAUUGCCGAAAAGGACCAUUUUUUCCUUGAGGCAAUGGCAUCCUGCUUCCUGGAUACUUUUGCCACCUCACAGCACAACUCUCUUGAAAAUCAUCAAAGGCAAAUUGUUCUGUAAGCGACAGAAGCACCAUGCUGCAGAGAGCAUGAGGAGUCCUUCCGGUCGUGGGAUGGCGGCAGUAAAUCUUGAUCUCCAUUUUAGAGAAAACUAAGGAAUUACUGAAUUAAGUAUGACAGAUAAGAAGUGGCCACUUCUUAGUAAUUCCUUAGUGGAAAUGUCCACAGUGCGGACUGGAUCCCAUGCAGUCUGUUCCCCGAGCCACUCUUCCAGCUCCACCACACUGUGCUUCAGAGCAGAAAACACACCACCUGCUGUCCUGCAUCUGCCCUUCAUCCAUCCACUAGACUGUAAGCUCCCAGAGGACAGGAACAUACCAUCAGUGUACAUACCUUUAAUGCUCUACACAGUGCCCAGCAUACCAUAGGGGCUUGAGGAAUACUUGUUGAAUGAAUAAUCCAAUCUAUAUAAAAGUAAGGAAUGGUAAAGCAACAAAGAAGGAUUUCACAAACCAGAAAAUUGACCCUUGGCCAGGUGCGGUGGCUCGCGCCUGUAAUCACACAACACUUUGGGAGGCUGAGACAGGCGGAUCACUUGAGGUCAGGAGCUUGAGACCAGCCUGGCCAAUAUGGUGAAACUCCAU